rnacentral:rRNA from 1 species
GACGAACGCUGGCGGCGUGCUUAACGCAUGCAAGUCGAACGGAAAGGCCCUGCUUUUGUGGGGUGCUCGAGUGGCGAACGGGUGAGUAACACGUGAGUAACCUGCCCUUGACUUUGGGAUAACUUCAGGAAACUGGGGCUAAUACCGGAUAGGAGCUCCUGCUGCAUGGUGGGGGUUGGAAAGUUUCGGCGGUUGGGGAUGGACUCGCGGCUUAUCAGCUUGUUGGUGGGGUAGUGGCUUACCAAGGCUUUGACGGGUAGCCGGCCUGAGAGGGUGACUGGCCACAUUGGGACUGAGAUACGGCCCAGACUCCUACGGGAGGCAGCAGUGGGGAAUAUUGCACAAUGGGCGGAAGCCUGAUGCAGCAACGCCGCGUGCGGGAUGACGGCCUUCGGGUUGUAAACCGCUUUCGCCUGUGACGAAGCGUGAGUGACGGUAAUGGGUAAAGAAGCACCGGCUAACUACGUG